rnacentral:rRNA from 1 species
GAUGAACGCUGGCGGCGUGCCUAAUACAUGCAAGUCGAGCGAACGGACGAGAAGCUUGCUUCUCUGAUGUUAGCGGCGGACGGGUGAGUAACACGUGGAUAACCUACCUAUAAGACUGGGAUAACUUCGGGAAACCGGAGCUAAUACCGGAUAAUAUUUUGAACCGCAUGGUUCCAAAGUGAAAGACGGUCCUGCUGUCACUUAUAGAUUGCUACGCGCUGCAUUAGCUAGUUGGUAAGGUAACGGCUUACCAAGGCAACGAUGCAUAGCCGACCUGAGAGGGUGAUCGGCCACACUGGAACUGAGGCACGGUCCAGACUCCUACGGGAGGCAGCAGUAGGGAAUCUUCCGCAAUGGGCGAAAGCCUGACGGAGCAACGCCGCGUGAGUGAUGAAGGUCUUCGGAUCGUAAAACUCUGUUAUUAGGGGAGAACAAAUGUGUAAGUAACUGUGCACAUCUUGACGGUACCUAAUCGGAAAGCCACGGCUAACUACGUG